rnacentral:rRNA from 1 species
CCUUCACGAAGUCGGAAUUGCUAGUAAUGGCAGGUCAGCAUACUGCCGUGAAUACGUUCCCGGGCCUUGUACACACCGCCCGUCACACCAUGAGAGUUAGGAAUACCCGAAGCCUGUGAGCUAACUUUAAUAGAGGCAGCAGUCGAAGGUAGAACUAAUGAUUGGGGUGAAGUCGUAACAAGGUACC